UACCAUAUCCAGAGGUUUGAAGAUGUGGUGCACCAGCUCCUCGGACGACGGACUAGCGAUGGUGGAUUUCAGCCGAGCCUGGAGGGAAAACCACAGCUGGUCGUUACACCUGGAGGCUCGGCAGCCGAUAAACGAUCGUCUGGAAGCCAGUGAACACGCCAGUUAUUCCCACUCUGAGGGGAAGCUUUUACUUUGAAAAGCAUCAGGCGGCGUUUACCUUCAGCAGUCUGCUUCUUGCUUUUCUUCUUCUUCUUCUUCCUCUGGGUCAGGAGGUUUGAGGCGUCGGCCGUCUGCUGCAGCUUCCCCAUGAACGACUCGAUGUCGUCGAAGCAGUGGUUCAGGAUCGCCUGAGUGUAGAAGUGAGGAAUGAAACGGGAGCGUACCACUUCUCUCUCGGCUCGCAGGAAGGAGACGUCCGGCCCGUUUGGUCCGUUUGCUGUGGAAUCGGUUCAGUUAUGAUCCUUUUAAUCGGG